AGUGAACGCUGGCGGUAGGCCUAACACAUGCAAGUCGAACGGCAGCACCGUAAUUGCUUGCUCUUACGGGUGGCGAGUGGCGGACGGGUCACGUAUAUAUCCUAAUCUUCUUUUUCGUGGGUGUUAACGCAGGUAAACUUACUCUAAUACCGCAUACCACCUUCGUGUGUAAGCAUGGGAUCUUUUGACCUUUUGCGAUUGAAUUAGCCGAUUUCGGAUUAGCUAGUUGGCGGGGUAAAUGCCCACCAAGUCGACGAUCCGUAGCUGGUCUGAGAGGAUGAUCAGCCACACGGGAACUGAGACACGGACCAGAGUCCGACGGGAGGGAGCAGAGGGGAAUAGUGGACAAUGGGCGAAAGCAUGAUACAGCGAUACCGCGUGGGUGAAGAAGGCCUUCGGGUUGUAAAGCCGUUUUGUUGGGAAAGAAAAGCAGCAGGUUAAGACGACGCGGUAAUGACGGUACCGAAAGAAUAAGCACCGGCUAACUUCGUG
rnacentral:rRNA from 1 species